UAUGCGGUUAUAUUUCUACCUAAGACUCAGGUGACGUUAGUCUCAAAUGUUUCGCAUUAGUGGAACGGCCCGCCGAGGUGAAAGUUUGUCCGAAUGAAACAGACUCUCAGCGGCGUUGUGUCUUUAGGCAUAACGCUUUUUAUUAGGAGAA
rfam:Lactobacillus rennini DSM 20253 NODE_26, whole genome shotgun sequence.